rnacentral:rRNA from 1 species
CCUACGGGAGGCAGCAGUGGGGAAUCUUGCGCAAUGGGCGAAAGCCUGACGCAGCCAUGCCGCGUGAAUGAUGAAGGUCUUAGGAUUGUAAAAUUCUUUCACCGGGGACGAUAAUGACGGUACCCGGAGAAGAAGCCCCGGCUAACUUCGUGCCAGCAGCCGCGGUAAUACGAAGGGGGCUAGCGUUGCUCGGAAUUACUGGGCGUAAAGGGAGCGUAGGCGGAUAGUUUAGUCAGAGGUGAAAGCCCAGGGCUCAACCUUGGAAUUGCCUUUGAUACUGGCUAUCUUGAGUGUGGGAGAGGUAUGUGGAACUCCGAGUGUAGAGGUGAAAUUCGUAGAUAUUCGGAAGAACACCAGUGGCGAAGGCGACAUACUGGCCCAUUACUGACGCUGAGGCUCGAAAGCGUGGGGAGCAAACAGGAUUAGAUACCCUGGUAGUCCACGCUGUAAACGAUGAGUGCUAGUUGUCGGCAUGCAUGCAUGUCGGUGACGCAGCUAACGCAUUAAGCACUCCGCCUGGGGAGUACGGUCGCAAGAUUAAAACUUCAAAGGAAAUUGAACGGCGNGAGAGNGCGAGACGACGACGAGGAGAGG